UACAGAGGUCUCAAGCGUUGUUCGGAUUCAUUGGGCGUAAAGGGUGCGUAGGCGGCGCGGUAAGUCGGGUGUGAAAUCUCGGAGCUUAACUCCGAAACUGCAUUCGAUACUGCCGUGCUUGAGGACUGGAGAGGAGAUUGGAAUUCACAGUGGAGCAGUGAAAUGCGUAGAUAUUGUGAGGAACACUAGUGGCGAAGGCGAAUCUCUGGACAGUACCUGACGCUGAGGCACGAAGGCCAGGGGAGCAAACGGG
rnacentral:rRNA from 1 species